CCCAGGUGGCUGCAAUGCAGGGAGAAGUUCAGGAAACUGCAGGACGGAAGAAAGGCUUCUGCAGGGAGCCCCCCAAGACAGGCUGUUCUGCAGCCAGAAACCUGAGGCUCCAGCCAGCAUCUGUCAUCUGAGAAUCCUAGAGCGCCACGUCCACGCUAGCUACGCCACCCAGCGCUCCGGAGCGGUGGGGUAGUGGCAAACGCCUAGACGACAACUUUCUAUUGCCUUCGGAUGGAUUCUCACGAAGGGGAGGAGCGUUACCCCUGGAAUCAGUAUCCUGGUCACGAGCCGUACGUGUCAGCAGGGAACCUCCUCAUUUCCAUAAACUGUCCUGCCCUCGGGCUCGGCUCCUUUUCCACCUUCAUUGUCACCUUUGCACCCAAGCCUGCCGCAGCUGGGAUCAAUGGGCAGCAGCACCAGGCCCUUGUUUUGUGGGCUCCUCAAGGCAGGUGUUUGGUUCCUGCAAUUAGUCUCUGAUGCCGUGUGUGCCUUGACUGUGUGAAAUCCGUCCCCAUGGUACCUCCCCAGCACUUCCCAAAACACUGCAUUACUGUUCCCUCUCUGUUCCACGGGGUCAGGGUCACGGUCUCCCUUGUGUGGACGCGCACCUGUCGCUUGGGGGAUUCUCCACCUUACCCAGCUCAGUAGCAGAAGGAGCCCUGCAGGGCAACUUCUGACACCGAGCGAGCCUGGGAGAGCUGGGAAGGAUGCAGAGUUGACGUCAACAAAAACAAGGUUCUCCAUAGCAGCAGGUCGGUGAAGAAUCCGUUGGGCCGUGAGCUGUAACUGCCCGAGGGAGGGGAGGUGUGUGCAGCAGGGUUGGUCUGCAAGAACAGAAAUACUGGGGGUCUGGGCAGAGAGAGAGUGUCUCAAGAAACAGGUUUUCUCAUGUUCCCGAAAUAGUUCCAGCAUGUGAACCAGGCACAAUGAAACCUGAGCAGCAAGAACUGCCAGGAAACGUGCAAUUCCGGUGUCUUUCCCUGUUCACGGAGGGCGCAGAGCAGCACUGAGGACUCCCAGUUGCUGUCUGAAAGGUCCCUUCGGUGGGAAAGCCCGGCCUAGGACACCGGCGGAGGAAGUGUGGUGUUAGGCUAUGUUCUGUCUGCUCUGUGAAUACGUACUUGGAUGGCAGCUACGAGUCUGCCAAGAGGAGGCUCAGGUUGGCUUGCAGUGCCCGUUCGAGGAGGGACUUUGUCUGCAAUCUAUAGCCUCUUUCGGAGAGAGCAUGUAUGGAAAGGUCAGUUCAGCCUCCCCUUCAUACGGAUAAUGGGUCCUUGGUUUGCCUCGUGCUAGGUCUCAGCAGUUGCUCACAUAUGACUGGUCACUUGUGUUAAUGGAGAAUUAACAGUCUCCAGCACCGAGGGGCAGAAUUCUGGGCUGGGGUCUCUCUCCAGGCUGGCGAGGAGAAGAUGGAUUUGCUGCUUUUCCUUUAGAACUAAAACUGAUAUUUCAACUCUUCCUUCCCAACGGAGCCCUCCUCUGGGCUCCUACCUGAGUCAGAGCUCGGCGUGAUCAUCGGCCAGGCCAGCUUAUUGUGCAGUGAUCUAGUUGGUUUGGGAAGUCAGUUUAUUUUCCUUCUCUAGAACUACCCACAUCUUGUCCAUCCUGGAGCACUUUACUAAGCCAUAGUCGUGAGGGGUGGGACUUCCUGGCAUUGGCCAAACUGCUCCCAUUGCAAUCCAUGGCAAACCUCCCCUUGACUCCCAUGGGAACAGAGUACUGCUGAUCAGGAAUCUCACGUACAGAA